rnacentral:lncRNA from 1 species
UUUCUCUCUCUUCUCUUCUCUCCUGCUCUCUUCUCUCUCUCAAGGAUNNNNNNNNNNUUCCGGCGACCGACCGCCGUGAUUCUCAGAUUUCGGCUAGUCGCCGACAAGCCGUCGCCACCUUCCAACAGGAACCACCGCGCCGGAAUCAUAACCACCCAAAAAAAAUCCCAAAAUUUACGUAGAAACCUUAUUUUUUGCGAUUUAAACACAAAUCAGCAUUAAAGGUGCAAAAAACACAACGAACAGUGUUAAAAAAAGGUAAUUAUCUUCCUUUUUUUCUUUCUUUUUAGAUCCCUCUUCUGAUUCUUUUUCUUUUUUGAAUUUCAGGUUAAGGGUGUUGGUGGAGGCAGAGGCAAGGUGCACUGUUAAAUUAGUUUUUUUUUUUUU